rnacentral:lncRNA from 1 species
UCUCCACACUGUUCGGCACAACCGGCGGCGCCGCCACCUUCCGAUUCUCCUCCAAAAACUUCAAAACAAUCAACUCCGUCUCCUCCCCGACCUUCCCCUUCUCCUUCAACACCCUCACCAUCUCGCUCAACCGAAACAGCGAGUGCAGUCGAAUCCCAUUCUCCUCCAAAUUCUCCCUCCCGCCCUGUUCCCGGUCGAUCAGCACAACAGCGUCUUCGACCUUCAGACCGGCGGCGCGUAGGGGCGCAGCCGUCUCCAAAACCGAUCCGCCGCUAGUAACCAAGUCCUCGAUUAUGAGGCAGACUUGGUCUGGCUUAAAGACGCCUUCGAUGGCCUUGGCGGUGCCGUAGUCCUUGACCUCCUUGCGGCGCAUGAGCAUGGGGAGGUCAUUGGACGUGCUGAUGCAGGUGGCGAUUGGGAGGGCGGUGUAGGGGACGCCGCAGAUGAGGUCGUAGCGCGUGGAGGAGGGGACGGUGGCGAUUAGGGUUUGGGAAAUUUGGCUGAGGAGGGUGGGGUAAGAUACGAUGAGGCGGAGGUCUAUGUAGAUUGGGGAGGAGAUGCCGGAUUUGAGUUUGAAGUUGCCGAACUUGACGGCGGAGAUGUCGUGGAGUUGGAGGAUGAGGGACUCGGUGGACGGCAAAGAUGCCAUUUUUGAUAAGACGGUGGCGGCGGAUUGGGAAGAGAAGAAGGAGAGUUCGUGGAGAGAGUGAGCAGCGAGCGCACGCAGUGGCUUUUGCGUACGGAAUAAAUAGAGAAGAUGCUGAAAUGUGA